rnacentral:rRNA from 1 species
UCCGUAGGGUUGAACCUGCGGAGGGAUCAUUACACAAUACAAUAUGAAGGCUGUCCGCAGCUGGAGUAUUUUAUUACCCUUGUCUUUUGCGCACUUGUUGUUUCCUGGGCGGGUUCGCUCGCCACCAGGACCACCAAAUAAACCUUUUUUAUGCAGUUGCAAUCAGCGUCAGUACAAACAAUGUAAAUCAUUUACAACUUUCAACAACGGAUCUCUUGGUUCUGGCAUCGAUGAAGAACGCAGCGAAAUGCGAUACGUAGUGUGAAUUGCAGAAUUCAGUGAAUCAUCGAAUCUUUGAACGCACAUUGCGCCCUUUGGUAUUCCAAAGGGCAUGCCUGUUCGAGCGUCAUUUGUACCCUCAAGCUUUGCUUGGUGUUGGGCGUUUUUGUCUUUGGUCGCCCAAAGACUCGCCUUAAAGUGAUUGGCAGCCGGCCUUUCUGGUUUCGCAGCGCAGCACAUUUUUGCGCUUGCCAUCAGCAAAACGGCAAUCCAUCAAGCCUCCUUCUCACGUUUGACCUCGGAUCAGGUAGGAUACC